UACGAAGGGGGCUAGCGUUGUUCGGAAUUACUGGGCGUAAAGCGUGCGCAGGCGGCUUCUCAAGUCAGGGGUGAAAGCCCAGAGCUCAACUCUGGAAUUGCCUUUGAGACUGAGUGGCUUGAGUACGAGAGAGGUGAGUGGAAUUCCCAGUGUAGAGGUGAAAUGCGUAGAUAUCGGGGAGGAACACCAGUGGCGAAGGCGAUCAUCUGGGAUUAACCUGACGCUGAGGAGCGAAAGCCAGGGGAGCAAACGGG
rnacentral:rRNA from 1 species